CUCAGCGAACGCUUUGUUUACAACUUCGUUACUUACUUUUUUGCAUACACAGUAGCGCGAGUACAAUCGCCGACUGUCUCAAAGUUGAGACUGAGCGACGUAAAAUAUCAAGUGUCUUUCGAACACGUCAUUUGUGUGAAAAAUGAUGAGGUCAAAUAAGUAUGUACAAAAUGUAACAACACAUGUGCUAAUCUAAUAAAUCAUUUUCGCGUCAACGUUUGUUAGAUCUUGAAGUUUGCCUCGACAGACGAGAAUAUUAUGAGCGCUUUUUCGACGCAUAAAUCGCACUUUAUUCGCUCGAUUAUGAUCAUAUGUCACGCAUCAAACACGUUUAUGAAUACUUGUUGCAAGUGUGCCUGCGUUAAUUAUAUCAUGGACGAAGACAUAAAUACCAUUAACGAGGAAUGGAGGCGUUAUUAGAGAAACGAGAUGGUAAACCACUUAAUGAGGAACACCGACAUAAUUCUUCGGACAAUACCUUUAAAUUCGUAUAAUGGGUUUACACGUAUGGUGAAAUUUUAUGAAGCGAUGAUUGGCGGUUAGUGUGUGAGCAAACGAUUUCUUAACUUUCUAAGGAUCCAUUGUCAAAACCAAUUGGCGAUUCAGCAGCUGCUACCGCAUCAAAAGUACCGGCGGCCAACGACUUCUUUGCUACUUUCAUGGAAGACAUAUUGGAAGACUUUACUGCGAAGGAGGAAAUAUAUUCUACCAUCGUUACCAAGGAAACAGGGCAUGGCACGUUUUUAUUGACAAAUCUGUUACAGAAAAGAAGCAAGCUGAACAUAUUGGAGGUUGUAAUAUUUACAGGCGCAAUAAAAGUGUGCUUUUAGCAACCCAUUCAUCUAAACCUUCUGUUGAUGGAACACCACAUCGCGGAACUUGGCCAUACAAUAAUGCCAAAUAUGCGUGAAAAGAAUGCGAUUCGGAGAUAUUCGGCUCGCACCAGUUUUACUGUUUUUUUAGCAUUUUCAGUCGCAUCCCUUACGGAAUCAUGGAGCAAAAUGGCCGACCGCGUAUCCAUGGAAACACUCUUUCGCAGCAUCGGAAGGGAGCACAUUCAUGGCAAGAAGGGAUGAACGAAAUAGCGUGCGCGCCACAUCAACCAAGAAGAGGUGGCCCCUCGGAUGACGAAGGAUACGAGCUGACAUAUUUCUCGUAUCUCCCAUCGAACGAGCCAUCUAAUCUACAGACCCCGUUCUUCAACGAGAACGGUGAUGACGAUGAGACCGUUAUUAUGUGUUCGAGAAUUUGCAAUCCAAUGCAAUUCAAUGUCGUUUAUGCAGUCAUAAAAGGGGUGCGACUUAGGCCGUCCUUUUUUCUUAAUUUUAACGGAGCGUAUGCGGAAAACCGCCAAAUGUUCUCGUAAACGUGGAUCAUUAAUAAUACUAGUCGAAAUGGUGAUGAUAAAAUUAUGAAUUAACAAUCGGAUGAUGCGCUGACACGUCUAGUCAAUAAGCGUGUAGCUAAUAGUGAGAUAUUUGCUGGUUUAUGAUCGCAUACCAGUCAAAUUACGUAUAAAAAAUUAAUUUAAUGGUACAAAUACUCUAGAAUUAAA